rnacentral:rRNA from 1 species
AAAGAAUUUAAAGAGUGCACUUCAUUGUGGCUCGACAUUUUCUACCAUUCACCCUAGUGCACUGUAAUACCCUUUUUUAUUAGACUCUACAAAGUUAUUGAAUGUAACACUUUUUUUAUAAAGAAAUAAAACUUUUAACAACGGAUCUCUUGGCUCUCGCAACGAUGAAGAACGCAGCGAAAUGCGAUAAGUAAUGUGAAUUGCAGAAUUCAGUGAAUCAUCGAAUCUUUGAACGCACCUUGCGCCCUUUGGUAUUCCGAAGGGCACACCUGUUUGAGUGUCAUUAAUCUCUCAACCCUAACAUUUUUUUAUUAGAAUGGUAGUGGCUGGAUGUUGAGCGUUGCUGGACCUUUUUUGGUUCAGCUCGCUUUAAAAUUAUGAGCAGGCUCCUACCAUUUCGGACUGACUCAACGUGAUAAGAAAUUUCGUUGAGGACGCUUUACAGCGGCCGAAUUGUAGGGAAAUGCCGCUGCUAGUUGACCCUUAUAUUUUAGACCUCAAAUCAGGUGGGACUACCCGCUGAACUUAA